UACGUAGGGAGCAAGCGUUGUCCGGAAUCAUUGGGCGUAAAGAGCUCGUAGGCGGUCUGUCGCGUCGGCUGUGAAAUCCCGGAGCUCAACUCCGGGUCUGCAGUCGAUACGGGCAAACUGGAGUACUGCAGGGGAGACUGGAAUUCCUGGUGUAGCGGUGAAAUGCGCAGAUAUCAGGAGGAACACCAAUGGCGAAGGCAGCUCGCUGGGACGGUACUGACGCUGAGACGCGAAAGCGUGGGGAGCAAACAGG
rnacentral:rRNA from 1 species